rnacentral:rRNA from 1 species
AUCGAACGCUGGCGGCAUGCCUAACACAUGCAAGUCGAACGAGUGGCGGACGGGUGAGUAAUGUCUGGGAAACUGCCUGAUGGAGGGGGAUAACUACUGGAAACGGUAGCUAAUACCGCAUACCAUCAGAUGUGCCCAGAUGGGAUUAGCUAGUGGGUGGGGUAACGGCGCACCAGGGAGACGAUCCCUAGCUGGUCUGAGAGGAUGACCAGCCACACUGGAACUGAGACACGGUCCAGAAUCCUACGGGAGGCAGCAGUGGGGAAUCUUGCACAAUGGGCGCAAGCCUGAUGCAGCCAUGCCGCGUGUAUGAAGAAGGCCUUCGGGUUGUAAAGUUCUGUCAUCGGGGAAGCGUUACCCGCAGAAGAAGCAACGGCUAACUCCGUGCCAGCAGCCGCGGUAAUUC